AUCGCUUCUCGGCCUUUUGGCUAAGAUCAAGUGAAGUAUUCCAUGAGAGCACUUGUAUCCAUAUCUAUGUAUAGUUAUAUUUCCCAUUACCUGAGGCUUCUCACAUUUAAAGGCAGAGCCUAGGUCUUUUCUUUUUGUCUUUCCUGUUCCCUGCAUAAAAA
rnacentral:snRNA from 1 species